AAGAGAUAACCGCUGAAAGCAUCUAAGCGGGAAACUCGCCUUAAGAUGAGAUAUCCCUGGGGACUUGAUCCCCUUGAAGGGUCGUUCGAGACCAGGACGUUGAUAGGUCAGGUGUGUAAGCGCAGUAAUGCGUUCAGCUAACUGAUACUAAUUGCCCGUAAGGCUUGAUCCUAUAACA
rnacentral:rRNA from 1 species